rnacentral:rRNA from 1 species
GACGAACCGUGCGAACGUUAUUCGGAAUCACUGGGCUUAAAGCGCGUGUAGGCGGGCCGCCACGUCGGCUGCUGAAAUCCCCCGGCUCAACCGGGGAACGGGCACCGAUACGAGCGGCCUGGAGGGGGGGUAGGGGGCACUGGAACUUCCGGUGGAGCGGUGAAAUGCGUUGAGAUCGGAAGGAACGCCCGUGGCGAAAGCGAGUGCCUGGACCCUUACUGACGCUGAGACGCGAAAGCCAGGGG